UGCAGUCGGACGGCAGGGAGCUUGCUCCCCCUAGAGUGGCGGACUGGUGAGUAACGCGUGGGUGACCUGCCCUCGAGAUGGGGAUAGCCAUUAGAAAUAGUGGAUAAUACCGAAUACGCUCGCGACCCUGUGGGGAUGCGAGGAAAUCAGGCUACGGCCUGGCUCGAGGAUGGGCCCGCGUCCCAUUAGCUAGUUGGUGAGGUAACGGCCCACCAAGGCGACGAUGGGUAUCCGGCCUGAGAGGGUGAUCGGACACAUUGGGACUGAGAUACGGCCAAACUCCUACGGGAGGCAGCAGCUAAGAAUAUUCCGCAAUGGACGAAAGUCUGACGGAGCGACGCCGCGUGGAUGAAGAAGGCCGAAAGGUUGUAAAAUCCUUUUGCCGAUGAAGAAUAAGUGCGGUAGGGAAUGACCGUAUGAUGACAUUAGUCGGUGAAUAAGCCCCGGACUAAUUACGUGCCAGCAGCCGCGGUAACACGUAAGGGGCAAGCGUUGUUCGGAAUUAUUGGGCGUAAAGGGCAUGUAGGCGGUUUUGUAAGCCUGGUGUGAAAUCCUGGAGCUUA
rnacentral:rRNA from 1 species